UGCGGAGCGCGGAACGACCGACGGCCGACUGUCAACUUCAGAUACGCGUGGGCUCCGGAGAUUAGUAUAUCAGAGGCAUAAGCAAACAGACGUGGAGAUUUCAGGGCCGGAUCGCGAUCCGGAAUUGAAUUCCGCUUGGGUUCAAAGGGCAGUUUGCAGCUUAUUUAAACUUACGCAAAACCAGAAAAUAAGAACGGAAAACCAGAACAACAGCAACGGAGAACAGGCAAAAAAAAAACGGAGAAGUGGAGAGAAGAUAGAAGAGGAGGAGCGGAACACGCUGCGCUCAUUACACACCUGGCGUUCACCGCUUUUGCUCGACCCUGCAAAGCGAGUACGCAUCAAAGAAAAACUGUUCGGUAAAAAA